UAGGGGGCGAGCGUUAUCCGGAUUCACUGGGCGUAAAGGGAGCGCAGGCGGCACGGCAAGUCCGGUGUGAAAGCCCGGGGCCCAACCCCGGGACUGCACUGGAAACUGCCGGGCUGGAGUGUCGGAGGGGCAGGCGGAAUUCCUAGUGUAGCGGUGAAAUGCGUAGAUAUUAGGAGGAACACCGGUGGCGAAGGCGGCCUGCUGGACGACGACUGACGCUGAGGCUCGAAAGCGUGGGGAGCAAA
rnacentral:rRNA from 1 species